rnacentral:rRNA from 1 species
ACGAACGCUGGCGGCGUGCUUAACACAUGCAAGUCGAACGGUGAUCUUGAGAGCUUGCUCUUGGGUGAUCAGUGGCGAACGGGUGAGUAACACGUGAGUAACCUGCCCCUGACUCUGGAAUAACUUCGGGAAACCGAAGCUAAUACCGGAUAUGACACAGAGCCGCAUGGUUUCUGUGUGGAAAGUUUUUCGGUUGGGGAUGGACUCGCGGCCUAUCAGCUUGUUGGUGAGGUAACGGCUCACCAAGGCGACGAUGGGUAGCCGGCCUGAGAGGGUGACCGGCCACACUGGGACUGAGAUACGGCCCAGACUCCUACGGGAGGCAGCAGGCGGGAAUAUUGGGCAAUGGACGAAAGUCUGACCCAGCGACGCCGCGUGAGGGAUGAAGCUUCUCGGAGCGUAAACCUCAAACGGAUAGGGACGAAAAGCCUAUCGGCUAAUAUCCGGUAGGCCUGACGGUACCUGUUACGAAGCUCCGGCUAACUCCGUG